rfam:Albugo candida, Ac Nc2, WGS project CAIX01000000 data, contig: AcNc2_CONTIG_2513_length_356
GGGGAUGUAGCUCAGAUGGUAGAGCGCUCGCUUAGCAUGCGAGAGGUACUGGGAUCGAUGCCCAGCUUCUCCA